rnacentral:rRNA from 1 species
GAUGAACGCUGGCGGCGUGCCUAAUACAUGCAAGUCGAGCGAACAGACGAGGAGCUUGCUCCUCUGACGUUAGCGGCGGACGGGUGAGUAACACGUGGAUAACCUACCUAUAAGACUGGGAUAACUUCGGGAAACCGGAGCUAAUACCGGAUAAUAUAUUGAACCGCAUGGUUCAAUAGUGAAAGACGGUUUUGCUGUCACUUAUAGAUGGAUCCGCGCCGCAUUAGCUAGUUGGUAAGGUAACGGCUUACCAAGGCAACGAUGCGUAGCCGACCUGAGAGGGUGAUCGGCCACACUGGAACUGAGACACGGUCCAGACUCCUACGGGAGGCAGCAGUAGGGAAUCUUCCGCAAUGGGCGUAAGCCUGACGGAGCAACGCCGCGUGAGUGAUGAAGGUCUUCGGAUCGUAAAACUCUGUUAUUAGGGAAGAACAAAUGUGGAAGUAACUAUGCACGUCUUGACGGUACCUAAUCAGAAAGCCACGGCUAACUACGUG